rnacentral:rRNA from 1 species
CCCUUAGAUGUUCUGGGCCGCACGCGCGCUACACUGACGGAUUCAACGAGCUUACAACCUUGGCCGAAAGGUCUGGGUAAUCUUCAAAAUCCGUCGUGAUGGGGAUAGAUUAUUGCAAUUAUUAAUCUUCAACGAGGAAUGCCUAGUAAGCGCAAGUCAUCAGCUUGCGUUGAUUACGUCCCUGCCCUUUGUACACACCGCCCGUCGCUCCUACCGAUUGAAUGGUCCGGUGAAGCGUUUGGACUAUGGUUUUCUGAUGGUCCGCCGUUGGAUUACCGUGGGAAGUUCGUUAAACCUUAUCAUUUAGAGGAAGGAGAAGUCGUAACA